CCUUCGGGAACUCUGACACAGGUGCUGCAUGGCCGUCGUCAGCUCGUGUCGUGAGAUGUUGGGUUAAGUCCCGUAACGAGCGCAACCCCUAUCCCUAGUUGCUAGCAGUUCGGCUGAGAACUCUAGGGAGACUGCCGGUGACAAACCGGAGGAAGGUGGGGAUGACGUCAAGUCCUCAUGGCCCUUACGGGCUGGGCUACACACGUGCUACAAUGGUGCGCACAGAGGGCUGCAAACCCGCGAGGGGGAGCCAAUCUCACAAAACGCAUCGUAGUCCGGAUCGCAGUCUGCAACUCGACUGCGUGAAGUCGGAAUCGCUAGUAAUCGCGAAUCAGAAUGUCGCGGUGAAUACGUUCCCGGGCCUUGUACACACCGCCCGUCACACCAUGGGAGUGGGUUGCACCAGAAGUAGCUAGUCUAACCCUCGGGAGGACGGUUACCACGGUGUGAUUCAUGACUGGGGUGAAGUCGUAACAAGGUAGCCGUAGGGGAACCUGCGGCUGGAUCACCUCCUU
rnacentral:rRNA from 1 species